GAAACGGUACUGCACCGGCGCUCUUUGGCGUCGAAGGAGAGACCAGGAAGUUUGUCUUUUCAUUUGCUUUUUGUUCGUGAGCAGUGUUUGUGUUCGCCGCGCGUUAAGCGCACGAGGAAGCUGGACUCAAGGGGCGCCGCAUCACCGCAUGCUCGCUUGGAAGAUCUCGAAGGAAGAGACGGGGCAGCUGUGGCGGCGCCACCGCGGCGGGUGCGGGGUCCCCGGCCAGGAGAGGGCGGCGUUCGGGCGGAGGCGGCUCCGCUUCGGCAGCCUCCGUCGCUGGUGGUCGGAGCGGCCGCGGGAGCGCGCGCUCGCCUAUUCCGCGGCGCCACUCGCCCUCCUCCUCGUCCUCCGGCGCGGCAAGACCGUCUCCUGGACCAAGGACCGAGACGACGAGCGCUACCGGCGGCGCAGCAAGCGCGAGCGCGAACACGAGAUGGAGCCGGAGCUGGAGGGGCUCCGCAGCGGCAGCGUCAGGAUGCGGCGGCUGAGCCUGUCGCGACACCUCUAAAGGAUGCCUAGUCACCAGUUCAAUUACGUGCUCUCCUGGUUCAAAGCCGACGUAAGGGUGCUGCACGGCAUACCUAGACCAUCGCCGGUCGUUAGCCAGUGGUCGAAGGGUUUACACCUACUGCGGUUGUCGAUGACCUAACACUCUGGAGUUGGCCUAUGAAGUCGUUUUGUUCCAGUACGAUAUUGUGGACCUUGUUAGCAGUCCGAAGUUGUAUACUCCUGAUCUUUCACCAACGUGUCGGUAGACGUACGAAGAGGGUAAUGCCCCUUAGACCUCCAAUCAACGAAACCACCACUCCCACUCAGUCUAUGUCCUCUGAUAACCUACGAACUCUAACUCCCGCCACCUUUUUGUACCGCAGUUUUGGUUGCUUAAGCCAACGCGGUACAACUGUGACCACCGAUAGACGUGUCGGUACUGUCUUUCAUAUGGGCGUAACGUCCGCCUGUCGUUCUCCAUACGCCACAACCGCUGUUCGCUGGACUGUUACAGACCGAACGUCGACUUCCACAGAUGAAGGGACACUCGGUCCGGUUUAUCGACAGAACGACCCACUCUUCACAGUAGUGACUUUAUCGUUAACACAUACUAAGCCUUAUGACCUCAACAUUAGUAAUCUUUACAAACCGAUGCAGGCUCAAGUCAAUUAAACUCGAUAAUCACAUUACAUUCGAACAACAUAUACUUGACUUCUCGUGUACGACGACGACUCAUGGUGAAGCAACUACGAGGCAAAGAAGAUUACGUCGUCCACACGUAACUACCGGUCCCCCAUUUAUCCUUCAAUCUCAAUACUUCUGUUUGGAACCUUAGCUUUCCCAAAUCCGAAUCAUCUUGAUUUUGGCUCAUGUACUACACGCCAAAAUCAUGAUGAUCCACACUCCUCCUCCUCCAAUCGGAACUACCGGUCCACCAUGGAGCCUUCCUGUGGAAAGCCAUAAACCCCAGUUACAACGUCCUCCUACCCCAUAACUGCUUCUACACUUGGUAGCUUAGUUUCGGCCUACCUACUUCACCACGGUUCGAAGACCGUAAGAGACACUGUUCUCACGGUGUUUUCGAUUUUCCGUUCAAGAUGUCCUGCCGCCAAGCUGGGCGUUACAACAUACCGCGCCUCACAACCGGCUGAUUUUCUGCUGUACAAGUUGUCAAUCCACACCGCCCCUACGCAUACAACUCUACCUACACACCGGUGUACUCCUUCCUAGCUCAGGCCUUACUACUAUAUGCUCUAUCUCAACCCCAUCGUGGUUAACUCCUCUUCGAACAGGUUGUAGUAGACUCUACCAAACCCGUAUAAGUCGCGUCCGGAGGUCUUCGAGGUCACGUAUCGCCUGCCGAUUUCGCACACCUCUUACAGUUCUCUCCCGCCCCAGCUGGCUUAAACUGUACCCUCCUCAGGCAAUUCUCUCUGGACUUUCUAAUC
rnacentral:rRNA from 1 species